rnacentral:misc_RNA from 1 species
GAGUGCCGAUGUCCUCUCGAGGCGCCGCGGCCACGGCUAUGGCGAAGGUCAGCCGCCUCGUCUCCCCGCGUCUCCGUAUCAUCCAUCGCGACUAUCUCACCCGCCGUGGUGGCCGCACGCACCAGCGGCACUCGGCUGUUGCGGUCGACUACACGCCGACGUACUUUGCAACGUACAAGAGCGACCCGGGGCAGUGCCCGCGCCUCAUCGAUGCCGAGGCAGUGCACGGCGAUGAACAGGCUUUCUGGUCCGCUCGCCGCGACUUCUACCGUGGCGGGGCAUCGCGGUCGUACUACCCCGCAUGGGACCGGCAGGCGCAGGCGCUUAUCAUGCUCACCCGCGAAGUCCCUCGCAUUCCGCAGGAGGCCGCGUUUCGCUUGUUUACAUUAGGCUUGAAGAUGAUGUUGCUGCCACGGUUGGUGGCCGGUGUGGAGCUGAUGCUGCCGUCAUGGGUGACAAUGAACGCUGAGUCGUUACUGAGUGAGGGCCUAGCGGGCAAAGUGGCGGAGGCGGAUGGCGACGGCAAGGCGACUGGCGCGGUAGCGGAUGCUGCUGCUCCGCCCUCGGCAUCUUCGGCGGGUGCCAGUGAAGACAGCGGCUCGGCGAAUGCGGAAAAGAAGUAGCGACGCGGGCAGGCAGAGGCGAUGCUGCAGGUUUUGGGGCGUUGCAGCGUUGCCGCUUCGUCUUCCCUCUCACGGCGUCGAUCCGCGCUUCCUCAGCCUUCCCCUCUCUGUUGCUUCGUGAUGGAUGAGGGGAGUGCUCUUAUAGGCGGCGAUGGCAGUGAUCCAAUCUGGUUCAACCUCUAUUCGAAGCGCUCGCGAACCUUUCUUCCUCUCGUGCGUGUGCGUGCUUGCGCCCGGGCCGCGUAUAUCGCAAGCUCUGCUUCGGACGUAGUUUCUGUUACAUCGCUGUCCGCGCGUGGAUGGGUCUGACGAUGAUCGUGAUUCUGUUGGUCUGCGCUCACAGUAGCUGGCGAGGGCGCGAAGGACAAUGAACACAGAAAAUCUAGUGCCACGACAUGGGCGACACGCUCUCUCGGGAGUGGGGCGAAGGUGCGGCUUGCGCGUGUGUGGUGGAUGCGUCUUUGCUUGCCUCUUUAAAGUUUGUUCUCUGUUGCCUGCACCGUUGCUUAUCCACCUCCCUUGGCGCGCCCCGUAGUGGUGCAGGGGCUCUGUAGAGGCGGUAGCGCUCCUCCCCGGGAGCGAGGGGGCGGAGGGGUGAUGGUGACGGUGGUGAUGGAGGGAGGGACAGCCUGAGACGACUGCGCGCCUGCCAGUCUGUGCGUGUCGCUGAGGACGUUUCGUGACAGUGCCAUCCGUAUAGGCCGCGCCAAUCUGUUCCCUCGCCACCACCACCACCACCCCUCCUCCCCUCUUCCCCUUCCAUAUGCGUUGUAGUGGUGCUGUAGAGUUUCCACUCCCCUCCCUC